rnacentral:lncRNA from 1 species
CUUCGUAAUAUCAAUCUAAGUGGCUGGUCUUUCAAUAUUGCGAUGGUAUGAGCUUGAAAGUAAGACCUGAGUCUCUGAGCUACCAUGAUCAAAGCAUAUAUCAUUUUUUUGAUCUUUUUUUAUCGGGUCUCUACAUCUUUCAAUAAUUUACUAGUGUAGUAGAUAGGCCUUUGAAUGCCCAUUUCUUCUUGGAUAAGAGCCAAGCUGACUGCAUAGGGUGAGACGGAGAUAUACAUAUAUAAUUUUUUGCCUUUAAUCGGCUU